GGAUGAUAUUUGAUUCAGACGCAUACCUGCACAACCCAUCUUCCAAAAUCAACUGUUCAUCAGGAGUCCAAUCAGUAGAAACACUAGCACUCUGCUCCCCAUCAUAACUGACUUGACCCGAAUCACUACCAUUCGACCCGUUUCCAGAUGGGUUCGCCAUAAUAAUCACACAUGCAACUCCAAUAACAGAAUUCCCGCCAAUUCUAAACCGUUAUUCC
rnacentral:lncRNA from 1 species